rnacentral:rRNA from 1 species
AGUGCCAUCCGCUGAGGAAGGCUUUUACCCAGUCUAGAACGCUGGGGGAAUAAGGAGAGGGCAAGUCUGGUGUCAGCCGCCGCGGUAAUACCAGCUCUUCGAGUGGUGUGGAUGUUUAUUGGGCCUAAAGCAUCCGUAGCUGGCUAAGUUAGUCCCUUGUUAAAUCCACCGAAUUAAUCGUUGGAUCGCGGGGGAUACUGCUUGGCUAGGGGACGAGAGAGGCAGACGGUAUUUUCGGGGUAGGGGU